rnacentral:rRNA from 1 species
UGUGACUGCGUACCUUUUGUAUAAUGGGUCAGCGACUUAUAUUCUGUAGCAAGGUUAACCGAAUAGGGGAGCCGAAGGGAAACCGAGUCUUAACUGGGCGUUAAGUUGCAGGGUAUAGACCCGAAACCCGGUGAUCUAGCCAUGGGCAGGUUGAAGGUUGGGUAACACUAACUGGAGGACCGAACCGACUAAUGUUGAAAAAUUAGCGGAUGACUUGUGGCUGGGGGUGAAAGGCCAAUCAAACCGGGAGAUAGCUGGUUCUCCCCGAAAGCUAUUUAGGUAGCGCCUCGUGAAUUCAUCUCCGGGGGUAGAGCACUGUUUCGGCAAGGGGGUCAUCCCGACUUACCAACCCGAUGCAAACUGCGAAUACCGGAGAAUGUUAUCACGGGAGACACACGGCGGGUGCUAACGUCCGUCGUGAAGAGGGAAACAACCCAGACCGCCAGCUAAGGUCCCAAAGUCAUGGUUAAGUGGGAAACGAUGUGGGAAGGCCCAGACAGCCAGGAUGUUGGCUUAGAAGCAGCCAUCAUUUAAAGAAAGCGUAAUAGCUCACUGGUCGAGUCGGCCUGCGCGGAAGAUGUAACGGGGCUAAACCAUGCACCGAAGCUGCGGCAGCGACGCUGAUGCGUUGUUGGGUAGGGGAGCGUUCUGUAAGCCUGUGAAGGUGUGCUGUGAGGCAUGCUGGAGGUAUCAGAAGUGCGAAUGCUGACAUAAGUAACGAUAAAGCGGGUGAAAAGCCCGCUCGCCGGAAGACCAAGGGUUCCUGUCCAACGUUAAUCGGGGCAGGGUGAGUCGACCCCUAAGGCGAGGCCGAAAGGCGUAGUCGAUGGGAAACAGGUUAAUAUUCCUGUACUUGGUGUUACUGCGAAGGGGGGACGGAGAAGGCUAUGUUGGCCGGGCGACGGUUGUCCCGGUUUAAGCGUGUAGGCUGGUUUUCCAGGCAAAUCCGGAAAAUCAAGGCUGAGGCGUGAUGACGAGGCACUACGGUGCUGAAGCAACAAAUGCCCUGCUUCCAGGAAAAGCCUCUAAGCAUCAGGUAACAUCAAAUCGUACCCCAAACCGACACAGGUGGUCAGGUAGAGAAUACCAAGGCGCUUGAGAGAACUCGGGUGAAGGAACUAGGCAAAAUGGUGCCGUAACUUCGGGAGAAGGCACGCUGAUAUGUAGGUGAAGUCCCUCGCGGAUGGAGCUGAAAUCAGUCGAAGAUACCAGCUGGCUGCAACUGUUUAUUAAAAACACAGCACUGUGCAAACACGAAAGUGGACGUAUACGGUGUGACGCCUGCCCGGUGCCGGAAGGUUAAUUGAUGGGGUCAGCGCAAGCGAAGCUCUUGAUCGAAGCCCCGGUAAACGGCGGCCGUAACUAUAACGGUCCUAAGGUAGCGAAAUUCCUUGUCGGGUAAGUUCCGACCUGCACGAAUGGCGUAAUGAUGGCCAGGCUGUCUCCACCCGAGACUCAGUGAAAUUGAACUCGCUGUGAAGAUGCAGUGUACCCGCGGCAAGACGGAAAGACCCCGUGAACCUUUACUAUAGCUUGACACUGAACAUUGAGCCUUGAUGUGUAGGAUAGGUGGGAGGCUUUGAAGUGUGGACGCCAGUCUGCAUGGAGCCGGCCUUGAAAUACCACCCUUUAAUGUUUGAUGUUCUAACGUUGACCCGUGAUCCGGGUUGCGGACAGUGUCUGGUGGGUAGUUUGACUGGGGCGGUCUCCUCCUAAAGAGUAACGGAGGAGCACGAAGGUUGGCUAAUCCUGGUCGGACAUCAGGAGGUUAGUGCAAUGGCAUAAGCCAGCUUGACUGCGAGCGUGACGGCGCGAGCAGGUGCGAAAGCAGGUCAUAGUGAUCCGGUGGUUCUGAAUGGAAGGGCCAUCGCUCAACGGAUAAAAGGUACUCCGGGGAUAACAGGCUGAUACCGCCCAAGAGUUCAUAUCGACGGCGGUGUUUGGCACCUCGAUGUCGGCUCAUCACAUCCUGGGGCUGAAGUAGGUCCCAAGGGUAUGGCUGUUCGCCAUUUAAAGUGGUACGCGAGCUGGGUUUAGAACGUCGUGAGACAGUUCGGUCCCUAUCUGCCGUGGGCGCUGGAGAACUGAGGGGGGCUGCUCCUAGUACGAGAGGACCGGAGUGGACGCAUCACUGGUGUUCGGGUUGUCAUGCCAAUGGCACUGCCCGGUAGCUAAAUGCGGAAGAGAUAAGUGCUGAAAGCAUCUAAGCACGAAACUUGCCCCGAGAUGAGUUCUCCCUGAC